GGCAGCAUGGAUGUCCUUUCGGGGACAUCUGAUGGCGACCGGCGCUCGGGUGAGUAACACGUAUGCAACCUGCCCCUGUCAGGGGGACAACCCGCCGAAAGGCGGGCUAAACCCGCGUACAUGCCACCGGGGCAUCCCGGAGGCAGGAAAGGCUUCGGCCGGACAGGGAUGGGCAUGCGGCGCAUUAGGCAGUAGGCGGGGUAACGGCCCACCUAACCGACGAUGCGUAGGGGUUCUGAGAGGAAGGUCCCCCACACUGGUACUGAGACACGGACCAGACUCCUACGGGAGGCAGCAGUGAGGAAUAUUGGUCAAUGGUCGGGAGACUGAACCAGCCAAGCCGCGUGAGGGAGGAAGGUACAGAGUAUCGUAAACCUCUUUUGUCAGGGAACAAAGGCGGGGACGUGUCCCCGGAUGAGUGUACCUGAAGAAAAAGCAUCGGCUAACUCCGUGCCAGCAGCCGCGGUAAUACGGAGGAUGCGGGCGUUAUCCGGAUUUAUUGGGUUUAAAGGGUGCGCAGGCGGUCUGUUAAGUCAGCGGUCAAAGCCCGGGGCUCAACCCCGGCCCGCCGUUGAAACUGGCAGUCUCGAGUUGGAGAGAAGUAUGCGGAAUGCGCGGUGUAGCGGUGAAAUGCAUAGAUAUCGCGCAGAACUCCGAUUGCGAAGGCAGCAUGCCGGCUCCACACUGACGCUGAGGCACGAAAGCGUGNGUAUCGAACAGGAUUAGAUACCCUGGUAGUCCANGCAGUAAACGAUGAAUGCUGGCUGUCCGGGGGGAUUGACCCCUGGGU
rnacentral:rRNA from 1 species